AAUGAACGCUGGCGGCAGGCCUAACACAUGCAAGUCGAACGGGCACUUCGGUGCUAGUGGCGGACGGGUGAGUAACGCGUGGGAACGUGCCCCUUGGUACGGAAUAGCCCCGGGAAACUGGGAGUAAUACCGUAUGUGGUCGAGAGACGAAAGAUUUAUCGCCAAGGGAUCGGCCCGCGUUGGAUUAGGUAGUUGGUGGGGUAAUGGCCUACCAAGCCGACGAUCCAUAGCUGGUUUGAGAGGAUGAUCAGCCACACUGGGACUGAGACACGGCCCAGACUCCUACGGGAGGCAGCAGUGGGGAAUCUUAGACAAUGGGGGAAACCCUGAUCUAGCCAUGCCGCGUGAUCGAUGAAGGCCUUAGGGUUGUAAAGAUCUUUCAGGUGGGAAGAUAAUGACUGUACCACCAGAAGAAGCCCCGGCUAACUCCGUGCCAGCAGCCGCCGCAG
rnacentral:rRNA from 1 species